GUGGCUGACGAGUGGCGCACGGGUGCGUAACGCGUAUGCAAUCUACCUUUUACAGUGGGAUAGCCCAGAGAAAUUUGGAUUAAUACCGCAUAGUAUAUAGAAUUGGCAUCGAUUUUAUAUUAAACAUUUAUGGGUAAAAGAUGAGCAUGCGUUCUAUUAGCUAGAUGGAGUGGUAACGGCACCCCAUGGCGACGAUAGAUAGGGGCCCUGAGAGGGGGAUCCCCCACACUGGUACUGAGACACGGACCAGACUCCUACGGGAGGCAGCAGUGAGGAAUAUUGGACAAUGGGCGCAAGCCUGAUCCAGCCAUGCCGCGUGCAGGAAGACUGCCCUAUGGGUUGUAAACUGCUUUUAUACGGGAAGAAACACCCCCCCGUGAGGGGGCUUGACGGUACCGUAAGAAUAAGGAUCGGCUAACUCCGUGCCAGCAGCCGCGGUAAUACGGAGGAUCCAAGCGUUAUCCGGAAUCAUUGGGUUUAAAGGGUCCGUAGGUGGAUAAUUAAGUCAGAGGUGAAAUCCUGCAGCUCAACUGUAGUAUUGCCUUUGAUACUGGUUAUCUUGAAUUAUUAUGAAGUAGUUAGAAUAUGUAGUGUAGCGGUGAAAUGCAUAGAUAUUACAUAGAAUACCAAUUGCGAAGGCAGAUUACUAAUAAUAUAUUGACACUGAUGGACGAAAGCGUGGGGAGCGAACAGGAUUAGAUACCCUGGUAGUCCACGCCGUANACGAUGGAUACUAGCUGUUCGGAGCAAUCUGAGUGGCUAAGCGAAAGUGAUAAGUAUCCCACCUGGGGAGUACGUUC
rnacentral:rRNA from 1 species